UACAGAGGGUGCGAGCGUUAAUCGGAAUUACUGGGCGUAAAGCGCACGUAGGUGGCGACGUAAGUCGGGUGUGAAAGCCCCGGGCUCAACCUGGGAAUUGCAUUCGAGACUGCAUUGCUGGAGUACGGAAGAGGAAGGCGGAAUUCCCGGUGUAGCGGUGAAAUGCGUAGAUAUCGGGAGGAACAUCAGUGGCGAAGGCGGCCUUCUGGUCCAGUACUGACGCUGAGGUGCGAAAGCGUGGGGAGCAAACAGG
rnacentral:rRNA from 1 species